AAAAGAAGAAAGAAAAAUGCAUGAAAGAUGGAAGAAGCAAAGAGAUAUACAAAUGGCCAAAAAGCACGUGAAAAAUGUCCCACAUCGCAGUCAAGGGGCAGCUCUGAACCACGGUGGGCACACACACCUUUCAGCAAUUAAAAAGAAAGCGUAAACAGAAAUUCCUGUGCGUUGCUGAUGGCUAUGUAGAUGGUGCAGCUACUGUGAGAAACAGCAGUCCCUCAGAAACCAGAAACAGAAUGACCGUAUAGCCCUCCAAUUCCAGCGCGACAUGUUCCUGAGAGCUCAAGUCGGGUCUUGACAGGGUUCAUACAGCUCCUGUCUCCUCCAGCUAUCCAGGGCAAGCAUCCUCGGGAUGGAAACAACCUCCCCGACCAUGUUUUUACUGGCUACGUUGUGUGUGUCCCGGAGCACGUCCUGCAUGCUGCUGCGUGUCCCGGAGCACGUCCUGCAUGCUGCUGCGUGUCCCGGAGCACGUCCUGCAUGCUGCUGUGUGUCCCGAAGCACGUCCCGCAUGCUGCUACGUGUCCCAAAGUACGUCCCGCAUGCUGCUGUGUGUCCCGCACGCUGUCUUAGCUCACCCACGUACUAAGGAAUCUCAGUCUUCAGUCUCACAGAGAAAGCUACAAUAAAUACCUUCACAGUUAAACUCUGUGCAUUCUUGUUUCUGUAUGUUUAUUUUUGCCAUAGGACUUCUGUGCUCACUUGAGAGAG